AUUGAACGCUGGCGGCAUGCCUUACACAUGCAAGUCGAACGGUAACGCGGGGGCAACCUGGCGACGAGUGGCGAACGGGUGAGUAAUAUAUCGGAACGUGCCCAGUAGUGGGGGAUAGCCCGGCGAAAGCCGGAUUAAUACCGCAUGAGACCUGAGGGUGAAAGCGGGGGAUCGCAAGACCUCGCGCUAUUGGAGCGGCCGAUAUCAGAUUAGGUAGUUGGUGGGGGUAAAGGCCUACCAAGCCGACGAUCUGUAGCUGGUCUGAGAGGACGACCAGCCACACUGGGACUGAGACACGGCCCAGACUCCUACGGGAGGCAGCAGUGGGGAAUUUUGGACAAUGGGCGUAAGCCUGAUCCAGCCAUGCCGCGUGCGGGAGAAGGCCUCGGUGUAACG
rnacentral:rRNA from 1 species